UACGUAGGGUGCAAGCGUUUAAUCGGAAUUACUGGGCGUAAAGCGUGCGCAGGCGGUUAUGUAAGACAGGUGUGAAAUCCCCGGGCUUAACCUGGGAACUGCAUUUGUGACUGCAUAGCUAGAGUACGGUAGAGGGGGAUGGAAUUCCGCGUGUAGCAGUGAAAUGCGUAGAUAUGCGGAGGAACACCGAUGGCGAAGGCAAUCCCCUGGACCUGUACUGACGCUCAUGCACGAAAGCGUGGGGAGCAAACGGG
rnacentral:rRNA from 1 species